rnacentral:rRNA from 1 species
AUUGAACGCUGGCGGCAUGCCUUACACAUGCAAGUCGAACGGCAGCACGGGAGCAAUCCUGGUGGCGAGUGGCGAACGGGUGAGUAAAGUAUCGCAACGAGCACAGUCGAGGGGGAUAACGUAGCGAAAGUUACGCUAAUACCACAUACGAUCUACGGAUGAAAGCGGGGGAACGCAAGACUUCGCGCGAUUGGAGAGGCCGAUAUCAGAUUAGGUAGUUGGUGGGGUAAAGGCUCACCAAGCCGACGACCUGUAGCUGGUCUGAGAGGACGACCAGCCACACUGGGACUGAGACACGGCCCAGACUCCUACGGGAGGCAGCAGUGGGGAAUUUUGGACAAUGGGCGAAAGCCUGAUCCAGCCAUGCCGCGUGCAGGAUGAAGGCCUUCGGGUUGUAAACUGCUUUUGUACGGAACGAAAAGGUUUGGCCUAAUAAGCUGAGCUCAUGACGGUACCGUAAGAAUAAGCACCGGCUAACUACGUGCCAGCAGCCGCCGUAA